CUUCCUAGUUACUAUUAAAAGGAUACCUAUUGAAUUACUUUUGCAAAUUGAAUUUCAGAUCUUCCGAUUCAUCUCCUGUUGAGGCAGGGCGUAGAGUACACCAAGGCCCAGAGAGAUUUUGCCCUUACGCUCCAUCUGCAUGGUCCAAAGGCAUAUCAAUACCUGAGAGAGACCCUGCAUAUUCACCUGCCACAUCCCAGUUCAUUGCAAAGCCCUCCCUGAACCCCGAAGGGAACGUGACCGGGUCUGAUGUGGUGCUGCUGAACCGCUGGAGUGUGAGGACACCGAUAAGCAUGUGAACUUUGCUAAUCAGAAGAUUAAGGUCUCCCUGGCUGCUCAGACUUUGAGUAGCUCUGUGGCAGUGGCGCUCCGCACGUUGCAGGAGUUGGGCUAUGCAGAGUUCAAGGAUUGUGAGGCUACUUCGGAAUUCAUUAAGGUUCCUCUCUGUCCUGGGCUUCAUCAUAAACAUUGACACAUUGAUGUCGAUGGUUCCUGUGCUGCUUGAAGGACAGCGAUAUGUCCUGACUUAAAGGUUCAGCCAGGACCACUUGGAGCUUCUCUUCAACUCCAUCAAAGCAUCUGGUAGGGUUCAUAAUUUAUA